ACUUAUUUUUGUCCCUUUUUGUUGUGUUUUAUAAUUCUUCAGGAGAGUGUCUGUGCAAUUGAGCACAUCCUAUCUGAGUUAAGGGACCAGCUGGCCUUGACAUAGACGGGAUACCGCUUUUCAAGUCCCCAGAAGCCGUUGAUGCUCGUUGGGCCAUGGCAAGCAAGCAUUUGAGUUGCAUGCAGGAUCCACCAUACAUUCAGCUGUAUGUGGCAACCAAAGUUGUAAAUAUCAACAGGGUACAGCUGAACAAGUACCGUUGUCGAAGAGGCAGCAACUCCCUAGAAGGACUACAUUCCCACAUGUAUCAAGCCAUCCCUUCAAAGCGAUGCGGGAUAAUACCAUUCCAAGUGUAUCUCAUUUCAUUUGCGGUCCAAUGGAACAGGCGAAUGGAGGCAAAGAAGGUUC